AGCUGGCGAUGCCACCAGUCCCGGGUGCAGCGGGCAGGAGCGGGGCUCGGCGUGUGCUGAGCCAGGGCCUGGGAGGGGUCGAGCUGCGAUGACUCGAGAGGGAUACCUUCAGGGCAUUUCUCUCACAGUCAUCAUCACAGAACUUGAACAUCUCAGUCUAUUAAAGAGCAAGAUAGCAGUCUACAGAUAAAAGCUGUCAAGUACAACAAACGCCAGUCCUGAAAUCCCAACUGCAAGCAAGUCAGUGAGAUCAAGAUUUUACAAGGCAACUUUAAAAGACAUUUGCUUUUAAGGCUACUAAAAGAAGUAUUAUGAUUAAUCACAGAGGGCAUAAAAGCUGGAGAUGGACUUUCAUUUACUUGCCUUUGACAGGUCUCUGCAUCACGACGGUAAGCCCAGCUCUGAGCCGGUGUAACACAGCAGGACUCAGCUAACUUCACAGCUGUGCUGGUUUAAAUCACAGAAUUUGGCCUGUUUUAAGACUUGAGAGCUGCGUGAUUCUGUUACCCUUGUUUCUAUGUAAAAAACAGGAGUAUAUAAAAGAGCAAUAGGGUAGAGCACUACCUCAGCAAUUUGGAACGACAGUGGAACCGCUAUGGAUUACUAACUCGAACCUUGUGCCCACAGCUUGGCUGAGAGUCCUCAGAGCAGAGCAAGAGAAACCUACUAUGUGAUACAUGUACGCCAGCAGAGUGCUCUGCCUUGAAAUGAGAGCCGACAGGCAAAGCCAGUGGAAUACAUUGGGAGCAUUGUUUUAUUGCUGCUUUACUGCUGAGAUUGCUGAACGGUCACGAAAAUGCCUGGCGCUGCUGCUGCACUGUUCCAGCAGGACAUGACCUGCUGUGGGAGAUGGCUGCACGCUGCAUCUCUAUGGUGUGCAGCAGCAGCUCAUGAAAAUGCUGAAGAACUGGAAAUAUCAGAUGAGUUCUCUCUAUGCAACUGAGUUUACAGCAGUUGGACUAUUGCCAGCUAAACUAGCACAAUUUAAAAGUAAACCAGAAUUUCUACACCAGCAGAAGUGUGUCAGCUGCACUAAACCCACAUGGAAGCUGGUCCCAGGGAAGCAGAGCAGGAGGCCAUUGGCUCCUCACCCCAGCCCUGCUGGCCCACACUGUGAGCUGGGCCCCACAGCUUUGGGUCACUUUAUUCAUUUCCCGUGCUUAAAGGUUCUUGACUGCACAAAGCAAUCUUGGAUUACAAAGGAGCGUAGGCUACAUCUCAACUGUUUCAAGUGCUGCCAAGAAAAAAGGGGACUUGGGUCAAGCCC